CGCGGGGACCAGGAAGCAGGAAGUGACCUGCCUCCUCGAAAGGGUUCCGGGGUCUCCCCGGCCGGACAGGGGGCUGGGGCCGAGUGCCUCCACCCAGAUCCCUUCUUCUCCAGCCCCCGCAGGGUAUGACACAAAGUGAAGACGCGGACUAGAGAGCCUGAGAGCUCAGCCCCACCGGCUCGGGGGUUCCCUGGACCUCGCAACUGGGGAGAGGAGGCCGGCGGAGGAUGGAGCCAACGUAUCUCCCGGGCCGGGCCCACCCUCGACUGUGCAGACCGGAGAACCCACCCAAGACCCUCCCCGGACGCGAGUCUGACAGGGACACGGGGGGAAACGGUGCCCGUGAGCACUCACCAUCUCCGCCGCGGCCCCCCGCCUCUUCCUGUCCCGGCCGGGCUCCCUCUCCGUGUUUUCCUCCAGCCCCACUUCCGGCGCUCAGCGCUGUCUCAUUGUACGCUAUUGGAAUUCGGCAGUGCCCCGUUCCGAGCGCUCCGCCGCGCACACCGGAAACUCUCGCCACGCCGCCGCUCCCGUUUCCGCCGCCGCCGCCGCCGCCGUCGCCUCGCGGGCGCAUUUCCCGGGAGUAGGGUGUUGGGCGUUGGGUUGGGGUCGGAGUGCAGGCUCUCCGCUCUUGUUCGCUCGGAGCUGUCCUCGCCUGGGCUCCUCUCUCUCCUGUGCUUUUAAAAGCACCGGGGAGGCGUGCGGAGGAAGCCUCUGGUUCUCUGGGAGAGAAGCGAAGCCCGCGGUCGUGGCGUAGCCGCGUGCCCAGGUCGGCUCGGAGGCUCCCUUUGCCCCUGGAUGCUCCUGGUUACCUCCAGGGCAAGUUCAGCGUGGGUCUGAGGCCUCGUGGCGCUCGUGCUGUUUUUCUGAUAAUUCGAGUGAUUGAAAGCCUCAGUGAGGUCUUAAUGGCCGACCCUAGCUUUUAAGCCUCCGCUGUUCAUCCAGAUCACAGUAUGGCUCAGAGAAAGAAAUGCUGUGCUUUUUUCUUGGAUUGUGUACGGAUUUGUUUCUCUUAAAAACAAAAUCUGGUUUCGCAGAAAAUGUGUAAACGCAAAGGAUGACCAAGGAGGGCAUUCAUAUUCGAAUUUUCAAACGGAGAAUGUUUUAAUGCAACUAGCAAACAACGGGGUUCCUUUCUUCUCUCUUUCUUUUCCAUUGACUUUACCUUCCUUGCUAUCUGCCGUGUUCUAAAUGCUUGGAAAGCCUCGAGCAACUAAUAAAAUUAGGGAGCUUUGAGAAAAUGCAACAGUUUUGAUUUCUCUUCUCUUUAAGGGUAUUUAAAUUUAAAUCCAUGAGAUUCUGUGGGGAUAAUGGUCUUAAAAUGAUCACAUUAGUACUGGCUGUUGCCAGGCACCGUUCUGAGGGCUUUGCAAAUAAUUACUCAUUUAAUCCUCACAACAGUCCCACUAGGAGAAUAGCAUUUAUCCCCCUUUUAAAGAUGGUGGGCGAAAUAGCGUUUAUGGUGAAGUAAAUGGAACCGCUGGAAUCCAAACCCUAAUGAGGCAGAGUCUGUUCUUAACCACUGUCUAUACUAAAGGUGAUUUAAAACAGAUUCAUCUUGAGGAUAAAUGAGGCUCUCUAAAACAAGAUGCAAUACUAAUCAAAAGAUAUUGACAGAUGUUGAAUUCCUGAUAUGUGCCUGAUAUAUGAGAGAAAUAGUCACAGUCCCUGUUUUCAAAGUGUUGAAAAAUAUGGUAAAGGCAAACAUGGAAGCAACCUAAAUGUCCAUCGACAGAUGAAUGGAUAAAGAAUAUGUGGUACAUUGGGACUUCCCUGGUGGUGCAGUAGUUAAGAAUCUGCCUGCCAACGCAGGGGACACAGGUUCCAGCACUGGUCUGGGAAGAUCCCAUAUGCCACGGAGCAACUAAGCCCAUGCGCCAAAACUACUGAGCCUAUGCACCACAACUACUGAGCCCACGUGCCACAACUACUGAAGCCCGCACGCCUAGAGCCCGUGCUCCUCAACAAGAGAAGCCACUGCAGUGAGAAGCCCGUGCACCAAAACAAAGAGCAGCCCCCGCUCGCUGCAACUAGAGAAAGCCCACAUGCAGCAACAAAGACCCAAUGCAGCCAAAAAAAAAUAUGUGGUAUAUAUAUAUAAUGGAAUAUUCUCAGCCUAAGAAAAGAAUGAAAUAAUGCCAUUUACAGUAAUGUGGAUGGACCUAGAGAUCAUCAUGCUAAUUAAUCAGAAAUAGACUCACAGGGACUUCCCUGGUGGCACAGUGGUUAAGAAUCGCCUGCCAGUGCAGGGGACAUGAGUUUGAGCCCGGUCCGGGAAGAUCCCACAUGCCACAAAGCAACUAAGCCCGUGUGCUGAAGCCCGUGCACCUAGAGCCCGUGCUCUGCAAGAAGAGAAGCCACUGCAACAAGAAACCCGUGCACCUCAACGAAGAGUAGCCCCCCACCUCACUGCAACUGUAGAAAGCCUGUGCACAGCAACAAAGACCCAAUGCGGCCAAAAAUAAAUAAAUAAAUAUUUUAAAAAAAGAAAUAGACUCACAGACAUGGAAAACAAACUUAUGAUUACCAAAGGGGAAACAGGGGAGGGAUAAAUCAAGAGUUUGGGAUUAACAUAUACACACUACUAUAUAUAAAAUAAAUAACCAACAAGGACCUACUAUAUAGCAUUGGGAACUAUACUCAAUAUUUUGUAAUAACGUAUAAGGGAAAAACUUUUCAAAGAAUUUUGGUGGUUUUAUGUACACAAGUAGUUUUGUAAUGUAUUAGAGGGCAGUGACCGUCAAGAUAAAGCAUUAUUUUGUAAUGAUAUUGCAAAACAGUUUGAUACGUGAGAUUAAAAAAAACGUUAUCUGAUUUGAAUAAGUCGUGUAUUUGCCUUUGCAAUUUGGAGAAAGGUUAAUAAUAAUCUCUUUAUUUGGUGUUACAAAAGGCUCUCACUUUAACCUGUGAGGUAUGUUGGGCAAGGGUUAUUACCCUAUUUUAUAGAUGAGGAAAGUUGAGACUGAGAGAGGUUUGGGGAAUAACCCAAAGCCAUGUGACUAAUAAGUGCCAGAGUCAGAAUUAAAACUCAGGCUGUUUGAUUCCUAAUUCAGUAUUCUUUAAGUAACGGAAGACUAAAUACUGAAUUAUGAAUUUACAUACUGGGCAUUUGUAUUUUGAUGGUGGUUCAGAA